AUCCAGCCGACGAGUCCCAAAAAGGACGAAAUGCGCAUCCUGGAU
rnacentral:hammerhead_ribozyme from 1 species